GACGAACGCUGGCGGCGUGCCUAAUACAUGCAAGUUGAGCGCUGAAGGUUGGUACUUGUUCCAACUGGAUGAGCAGCGAACGGGUGAGUAACGCGUGGGUAAUCUGCCUUUGAGCGGGGGACAACAUUUGGAAACGAAUGCUAAUACCGCAUAAUAACUUUAAACACAAGUUUUAAGUUUGAAAGAUGCAAUUGCAUCACUCAAAGAUGAUCCCGCGUUGUAUUAGCUAGUUGGUGAGGUAAAGGCUCACCAAGGCGAUGAUACAUAGCCGACCUGAGAGGGGGAUCGGCCACAAUGGGAAUGAGACAAGGCCCAAAACUCUACGGGAGGCAGCAGUAGGGAAUCUUCGGCAAUGGACGAAAGGCUGACCGAGCAACGCCGCGGGAGGGAAGAAGGGUUUCGGAUCGGAAAAAUCUGUUGGUAGAGAAGAACGUUGGUGAGAGUGGAAAGCUCAUCAAGUGACGGUAACUACCCAGAAAGGGACGGCUAACUACGUG
rnacentral:rRNA from 1 species